CGUAUAGUUCAGCGGUGCCGCUGACCAAGUUCGGCGGAAGUGAUGUCCGGAGCGGAUGAAUGCAGAGGGAGCGAAGAUGGCUAGCGGAGGGGGCUGCAUUCGGGUCCGGCGGAGCUGCAAAGCAGAGCGGAGGUUCCGAGCUCGCGUUCAGCGGAGCGGAGUCCGAGCUUGAGUCCGGCGGAGAUGGAAGUUGGGCGGAGCGGAGAUGAAGUCUGGCGGGAAAAGCUAGCGCUGAAGAC
rnacentral:lncRNA from 1 species